rnacentral:rRNA from 1 species
GAGUUUGAUCAUGGCUCAGAUUGAACGCUGGCGGCAGGCCUAACACAUGCAAGUCGAGCGGCAGCGCGGGGCAACCUGGCGGCGAGCGGCGGACGGGUGAGUAACGCGUAGGAAUCUACCCAGUAGCGGGGGAUAGCCCGGGGAAACUCGGAUUAAUACCGCAUACGCCCUAAGGGGGAAGCAGGGGAUCUUCGGACCUUGCACUAUUGGCAGAGCCUGCGUUGGAUUAGCUAGUUGGUAGGGUAAAGGCCUACCAAGGCAACGAUCCAUAACUGGUCUGAGAGGAUGAUCAGUCACACCGGAACUGAGACACGGUCCGGACUCCUACGGGAGGCAGCAGUGGGGAAUAUUGGACAAUGGGGGCAACCCUGAUCCAGCCAUGCCGCGUGUGUGAAGAAGGCCUUCGGUUGUAAG